rnacentral:lncRNA from 1 species
AUGUGUUCAGCAAAAUUUCUGCCUGGGUUCAGCACAAAGUCAAGAAUUCCACAGCAUUUUUCCAGGAUCUUUCCAGAGACACCUGCCUUUUUCCAAGCUCUCAAGAAACAUUUGCUACACUCACGAAUACUUUGUAAAGCCUCAUGUCCGUGCACAAGAAGAGUGCCACCCUACAGCAGCCUGCUCAGGUUGUACCCGAGCUAUGAGCCAUAAGUGCAGAAGAGCAUUUCAGCUCAAGAAGCAUAUUGCUGGGAUUUAGCAAGCAAAGGAAGUAUUUACUCCAAAAGGAAGGUCUGAGAAGCUCUGUGGUUCACACAAACUUUCAGGACAGCUUUAAUUUCAACAUCUUUAAUUCAUGCUCGCUCACAUGACUAUCUUUUCUUAUUCAUGACUAAAUUCCAUUCUCUAUUCUCUAUUGAAGUUUUCCCUACAUUGAACUUGAGGAAUCAAUAUGCUAUUUUUCUCCUUGAAACAAAUAAAAAAUACCUGCUACCUAUAGCA